AUGUUGACCCCGCCAGAACCACUUGCAUACCUGGGCCACUUCGGGAGCUACUGCCCACACGGGGACCUGUGGCUGGCAGCCAAAUGCCUGGGGAGCCUUUUUAACCUUGCUGCCUGGGACUGUGGAAUGCUGGGGAGGCCUGCCGGAGCUGUGCGCCAGGCUGCCACCCUCCAGGUGCCCGCAGGCUCUGCCGGUUGUAGCUCACCCCUCCCUGCUGUUUUCUCCAGCCUGAGGCUGCGCACGAGGUUCCGCCCCUGGGGCUGGGCUGUUCCCAGAGGUCAAGGAGCGAAAGGGGCGGGGCCCGUGCUCGCCUGCUCUGUCCCACAGGCUCCCUCAGGUUUUGGUCCCAGAUACUAUCUGAAGGAUAGAGAAGGAGACGGAAAGCAGAGAGAGAGCUUGAAGGGUCUCACUCUGUCAUCCAGGUUGGAGUGCAGUGGCAUCAUCAAAGCUCCCUGCAGCCUCAACCUCCUGAGCUCAAGCAAUUCUCUUUCCUCAGCCUCCCAGCAAGACUCAGGCGCAUACAGACGCAUUCCACAUGGCAGGAGGAAGCAUCUGCUUUCAGAAAAAAAUUUCCGUACUCCACAUUAAAGAAGCAUAUUAUCUACAUACAUAUGACGGAUUGCAAUUGCAAGGUAAUCAUGUUUCUUGAUGUUAAUUUGUACCUUUUAUAUGACACUGAUUGUGGUUUUGUGCUUUCCUUGAUUCCGUUGGACAAACCUCUUCUCACAAUUAAAAACAAUCCCAGAUAUUUAGACAUUGCAGAUACAUAAUAUGCGGUGCUGUGUCUAUAAAAGUCAUCAAAGGGGAUCAUUAACAGAUUCUAAAAUGAUUACUCUGCUGAAGUGAGCAAUCAGUUAAAAAUGAAUAAUAUGAAACUGUUAUCCUAAAUCUAUAAAAUGAUUAUCACCCAGAGCCUGCAGAAUACAGAUGAUGAGAAAAGCCGACAAGGCCCAAAGCUGUGUUAUAAGAAUCACAACUUGCAAAGAAGCUGAUUCCAGGAUUAUUUUAGUCUAAACACUAUAUACUAAGAAUAAACAGAAUGAAUUUGAAGGUAUCCAUAAGGCAGAUUUAUCAGUCACCAUGUAUUAAUCUGUGUAUUAAUCAUUUUAAGCUUCAUUUUACAGAUGAUUUUGAAAGUAAGUGUUCAAUCAUAAAAAUAAAUCAUGUGCAUAUUGCCUUACAGAUUACAAAGCACUGAAAUUAAUGUAUCUCAUUUAGUCCUUAAAAAAGAAAUCUGUCAAAUGGGAAUUAUUAUCUAUCAUAUCUUUGGGGUAAGAAACUAAAACUAAUCUUGACCAAAAGACUUACCUAAGAUGUUUCAGGUAAGAAUUGGAAGAGUUAGAAUACAACUCAAGUUUAUCUAAGCACAUUCAUUAGUUCAGCUGAGCAAAUAGGAAUUCCUACUACAGGCAAGGUACAAUACUAUGCCCAGGUAAUAGCAUAACUACAGAAAUGAUAAUGUCUAUUCUCCAGAAGGAACUAUGUCUCAGCAAGCAAUUAAUUAAGCAUUUAUUUAAAUAAAAUCUUGAUAAAUAUUACAAAAGACCAGGGAAGGAAGCCAGUUUUAUAGGAAAGGAACCAGCUUAAUUUGUUAGGGUUAAAAAAUAUACCUCCUUGAGAAAGGAAGCUAAGCUGAAAUUUUUAUGACAAGUUAUUUAGCAGAAAGAUAGGUACCUGUUGAGGCAAAGUACACAGGCUCUAAGAAGAUCCUGAAGCUGUCAUAAAUGUACAAAUGUAGAAUAAAGAUAGCCUGUGUCUUAGGGACAAAGAGAAGCAGCAUGUGGUUGGUGCCAGCUGAGGCAGGUGACGUGAGCACAGCCAGAUAGUGUUGGUGUCUAUUCCUAAGAGCAGUGGACGGCCAUUGAAAGGUUUUACUCAUGGAGGCAAUAUAGCAAUAAGGUCAGAUUUCAGUGCAAAGCAGAAAAUGCACUGAAGCAGAAUAAUUGGGGAGAAGCCCAAUUUAAAAAUGAGCAAAAUAUGUAAACAGGCACCAAAGAUGAUAUACAGAUGGCAAAUGAGCAUAUGAAAAAGUUCAACAUCAUAUGACACUACAAAAUUGAAAAUUAAAGUACAAUGAGAUGCACCUAAACAAUCUAUUAGAAUCACCAAGAUCCAGUUUUUUGCUUUUUUUUUUUUUUUUUCUGAGACAGGGUCAUAUUCUGCUGCUCAGGCUGGAGUACAGUGGUGGAAUCAUGGCUUACUGCAGCCUUGACCUCCCAGGCUGAAGUGAUCCUCUCACUUCAGCCUCCAAGUAGGUGGGACCACAGGCAUGCUCCAUCACACUGGCGAAUACUUUCAUUUUAUUUUUUUAAAGAUGGGAAGAUGGGAUUUCCCUCUAUUGCCCAGGCUGGUCUCAAGCUCCUGUCCUCAAGCAAUCCUCUGACCUCAGCCUCCUAAAGAGCUGGGAUUUUAAGUAUGAGCCACUGUGCCUGGCUAAACAUACUCUUACCAUGUCGCCUAGCAAUAUUGCUCCUAGAUGUUUACCCAAAUGAAUUGAAAACACAUGUCACACAAACACUUGCACACAGAUGUUUUUAGUGAUUUUAUCAUAAUUUCAAAAAAAGCAAGCAACAAAAAUAUCCUUCAACAAAUAAAUGGAUAUAUCAACUGUGGUAUAUCAGACCAUGGAAUGUUAUUAAGCACUAAUAAGACAUGAGUUAUCAAAUCAUGAAAACAUAUGGAAGACUCUUAAAUGUAUAUUACUAAGUAAAAGAAGCCAUUCUGCCCAGCACUUUGGGAGGCCGAGGCGGGUGAUCACGAGGUCAACAGAUUGAGAUCAUCCUGGUUAACAUGGUGAAACCCCGUCUCUACUAAAGAUACAAAAAAUUACCUGGGCAUGGUGGUGCGUGCCUGUAAUCCCAGCUACUCAGGAGGCUGAGACAGGAGAAUUGCCUGAACCCAGGAGGCGGAGGUUGCGGUGAGCCGAGAUCUCGCCAUUGCACUCCAGCCUGGGUAACAAAAGAGAAACUCCAUCUCAAAAAAAAAAAGAAGCCAUUCUGAAAAUACUACAUACUGGCAGUCCCACUAAAUGACAUUCUGGAAAAGGCAAACCAUGGAGACAAUAAAAGUGGAGAGAGUGGGAACAUUUAGAAGGCUGGGAUGGCAGCAUAGUAAGAAACAAUAGAGCCCUGAACUAAUUUGCCCAUCUAGGGGAAGAAAUUAUCUAAACAUAUUCCUCAAAACCUCACCAUAAAGCAUUUGAAAAACCAGCUCUUUAAGUUGAGAAACAAUUUUGAUUAAGUCACUGCCUUAUCACCUUUCCUCUUUUCUGCUUUUAAAAAAAUCCCUAAAUUUUUAACGUGAAUACUUUGUGCAACCUAUCUCUUGCCACUUCUCCAUCUUACCUCCUCCAUCUUGACCCAUAGAUAUUCUCAUUCAGCAGCAUUUCUCACUGUUCCCCAAACAUCCCCACACAAUGGUGGUUCAGUACAUUUUCAUACACCAUUGCUUCUGGCUAGGAUGCCUCCUUUAUCUGGAAAUCUCCUCCAAGAUAAAUCAGUUCAAAUACCACCUUUUCAUAAAAAAACUCAAAGACUUUUUCCAUCAAAUGUACUUUUCUUUUCUUAGAACUUCCAUGAUUUUACAGGUAUUAUUGUACUCAUCCCACUGAAUUAUAACAAGGUUGCUCUCAUAUCUUUUCUAAUCUACUAAUUUUCGACUCCCUAAAGUCAAAGUCAUUCCUUACUCAACUUUCUAUACUCAGUUUCUAUUCCAAUGGCUGUUAUGACUUCAAUAAAUGUUUGUUGAUUUAUUGUUCAGCCAAUGCAUGGAACAAAUUGCUUAGAAAUAAACAACUGAGCUAGGUGUUAUAUGGAUCUGGUUUUUAAAAUGGGAUUUUCUAUACUGUAUUCCAUACAUUCAAGAUGUGACUUAAAAAUACGCUUUCUAAGGAAACAUGGUGAUUGCCAUAAAGUAUAAUGGUGGAAAGGGGCUCAUAUUGGCCCUCUUUUAAAACAAUAUUUUUGUAGUGCUGCAAUACAAUUUAGGACCUGUAUAAAUGAUGCCAUGCAUUAGCAUGUGUUUUUACUCUUGUGGAGCAGGAGCUGAUAAACUGUAGUCCAUGAGCCAAAUCUGGCUCACUGCUUGUUUUUACAAAUAACAUUUUACUGAAGCACAGCCACACUCAUUCUUUUACAUACUGUCUGUAGCUGCUCCUGUGCUACAAUAGCCAACUUGAGUUGCUGUGGCAGAAACAAUCCAGCCUAUACAGCUGAAAUAUUUACUAUCUAAAACUUUACAGAAAUAGUUUACUGCUCAAAGUUUCUAAGAUGAAUGGUUUCUAAGAUGAAUUUACCCAGGUUUCAAUUCUGCUUCAUUACUUAGUAGACAGGUGAGUUGGAGCAAAUUAUUUGACCUUUCUACUUCUCAAUUACUUAUUUAAAAAUGAAAUAAUAAGAAAAUUUAAGUCAUGAAGUUAUCUUAAAAAAUAAAUGAUAAGCUGGGUGUGGUGGCUUACGCCUGUAAUGCCAGCACUUUGGGAGGCCAAGGUGGGUAAAUUUCUUGAGCCCAGGAGUGUGAGUCCAGCCUGGGCAACAUAGCAAAACCCUGUCUCUACAAAUAAUAUGAAAACAAUUAGCCAGCCACAGUGGUGUGCACCUGUGAUCCCAGCUACCCAGUAGGAUAAGGUGGGAAGAUUGAUUGAGCCCAGGAGGUUGAGGCUGCAGUGAGCUGUGUUUGUGCCACUGUACUCUAGCCUGUGUGACGAGAAAGGCUUUGUCCCAAAAAUAAAUAAAUAAAUAGAUAGAUAAAUAAAUAAAACUUACAAUGUAAAAUUUUUAAAAAUGUAGUUUUAAAAACAUUUACAAUAAAUAAAAUAAAAAUUUAAAAUAUGUGAUAAAAUGUUUGAAAAAAUACAAUAUAGAAGUGGUCAAAAAAUGUUACCCACUAACAUAGGUGGCAUUAUUUUAGUAUUUUAUUUUUUAGGACUUAAUUAAGAAAUUUAC
ensembl:lncRNA